rnacentral:rRNA from 1 species
UACGGAGGGUGCAAGCGUUAUCCGGAUUCACUGGGUUUAAAGGGCGCGUAGGCGGCCUGUUAAGUCGAACGUGAAAUCCCCAGGCUUAACCUGGGAACUGCAUCCGAUACUGGAUGGCUUGAAUUCGGGAGAGGGAUGCAGAAUUCCAGGUGUAGCGGUGAAAUGCGUAGAUAUCUGGAGGAAUACCGGUGGCGAAGGCGGCAUCCUGGACCGAGAUUGACGCUGAUGAGCGAAAGCUAGGGGAGCAAACGGG